GGAUUUUGCAGGACUCCUGGUGUACAACAGGUGAGGAUGCAUGCCUGGGUAGUGAUGCAAGUGAGCAGCCCAGUUUCUUGGCAGUGGACAUUCAGCAGGUGAAGAGCCAACUUCUGCUAAUAAGAGGUUUUGGCUGAGCUUCAGGCGUCGAAAGUUAAAAAUCUGCAGAAGGGCAUGGAUUAAAUACAGAAGUGUGGAGAAUGGAGGAAAGGCUGAAUGCGAAGAGGCUGCUUCUUCUGUCCCUAACCUCAAAAAGGCGAGAGGUGUCUUACAAAAGCAGUGUUUUGUCCUCUUCUGUAUUUCGUGCCUCCUGUGUCCAUGCCAGGAUACCUGCUUUUAUAUGGCAGACAAUGGGAGUGCAGCCGGCACUGAGCUGAAGCCUGAGCUGUUCUGCACCUCAUGUGGAUUCGAGUUCAAAUAAACAGUUUGACUCGCU